rnacentral:lncRNA from 1 species
CUCCCAUCAUCUCUAAUAAACUAAACGCGAAUGAAUAGAAAAUAAGCAAAUGUCACUUAUAAGACACCAAAACAAUUAAGAAACACGUUUGUUGAAUAUAAAGAAGUUAACGGGUUAAAUAUGAGCACCAAAUAUGUGGCAAGGAGUUUUUUUAAAGAAGCUCAGCAAUUUCCUGUUUAAACUUGGGAAAACAGAGACGUGUCCAGUAACACAGAUGCGUUAAAACAUGCAAACCAAUUGUCUCCUAACACAUAAAUAUCCCUUAUGAUUUUCUGUAUGGUUCAUUGUAAGAGUUAAAGCGGGUUAAAGAAAAAGGUAUGUUCAGCGGGGAAGGAGAGACUUGUUUUGAGAGGAGCUGAGGACUGACUGCCCAUGGUGGAUGGGCGGAGCAGCAAGCAUGCGCUGAGCUGGCAGAGACGGGGCUAGUCUGCUGCGCGCAAGGAGAGGGAGAUCACGGGCUGGCUCGGGUCUUCUCAGACGGACGCGGGGAGACCACCUUACCAAGCACGUCUCCUUGAGGACUAAAUAGGCGAGAACAGAAAAGAGCAAGAGAGAGAGUGAGAGACAGACAGGGAGAAAUAGAAUAAUAGAAAGCUAUAAGGACAACACCUCCGUUUGUAACCACAGGGAGUCGGCAUCUGGAAACAUAACGAGUGAAGAAGACCCCCCUCGCGACAUCUCUCGGCUCUGUGUCUCCCAGCGCACCCCUCCUAUAGCCUACUCCCUGGAGAACGACCACCCAUUGAACACCCUAAUUGACCAGCGUUGCCAUUAAGCGAUGUACUUUGAAUCCAAGACGAAACCGAACGCGUCAUUUUGAUGCACAUUCUACAACCAGUGAUCUUCAUUUUCCAAAACGGAACAGUUUAGACUGUGGACACAGUUUGGGGUGUUUAGCCUAAAUUUAACGGGUUUCUGGCGACGUGAAAUUAUCUCAUCCCCGGUAACUGACAUCAACAAUAUACGAUUAUCUCGUAUUGCUUGUGGAAGAGUCUUAUCAUCUUCGUUUAUUCCAUUUUCUAUUUUCUUUUUCAAACCAAUGGUCUGGGAACGGACCGCCUCACCCGACACAUAGUCUUUUAUUUAGACGUGUCAGCUUCGUCUAGUGCUUUGAACGAGGACAACAUUACAGAAUUGCAAGGGGAAAUUGUCAUCGAGAGGCUUUUGCACCAAAAUACUGAGUGGAAAGUUUGUUGCCGGAGAGGGAAUAAAUCGGAGACAUCUCGGCCAUAUCCACGGGAUUUUUCCCUAAGGUGG